rnacentral:misc_RNA from 1 species
CCUGCAUGCUCCAGGUGCUUAAAGUUAGGGAUUGACAAUGGUUUAGACCACUCAACAGUGAAUUUAGAGAAUCUCCAUGUGUGUUGUGUGCAGAUACUGCACUAAUGCUAAUUUGGGCAUCGAUCAGUUUUGUUGCUUUCCGAGUUGUUGCUGAUCUCAGGUAUUUUCCUACAAUUGUCAGCAUCAAUAGGUUUGGAGUUGAUAUAUCAACACACAGAGCAUUUCAUUUGAUGCACACUUAAUCACUGAAAGUCUUUUGAUCAUUAUGUCAACUUCUCUCACAAAAAAUCCAUCAGGAAUAAGGCA